rnacentral:rRNA from 1 species
CCUACACAUGCAAGGUCGUACGGGAGUUUUUAACUCCAGGUGGCGGACGGGUGAGCCCCAUGAUGGAGUAUUUACCUUUAGGAGGGGGAUAACAGUUGGCAACGGCUGCUAAAACCCCAUAUGCUUUAGAGUCAAAUAGAUUUAUCUGCCUAAAGAAAAGCUCGCGGCUGAUUAGCUAGUUGGUAAGGUAAUGGCUUACCAAGGCGACGAUCAGUAUCUGGUUUGAGAGGACGAUCAGACACACUGGAACUGAGACACGGUCCAGACUCCUACGGGAGGCAGCAGUGGGGAAUUUUCCGCAAUGGGCGAAAGCCUGACGGAGCAAUACCGCGUGAGGGAAGACUGCCUAUGGGUUGUAAACCUCUUUUUUCAGGGAGGAAUAAAUGACGUGUACCUGAAGAAUAAGCAUCGGCUAACUCCGUGCCAGCAGCCGCGGUAAGACGGAGGAUGCAAGUGUUAUCCGGAAUCACUGGGCGUAAAGCGUCUGUAGGUGGUUGUUUAAGUCAACUGUUAAAUCUUGAGGCUCAACCUCAAAAUCGCAGUCGAAACUAUUCAACUAGAGUAUAGUAGGGGUAAAGGGAAUUUCCAGUGGAGCGGUGAAAUGCGUAGAUAUUGGAAA